rnacentral:lncRNA from 1 species
AAAAAUUAAGGGAAUAAAUGCGUAAUAAUUUAUAAAAUUUAGCCUAUAGAUUAUCAUCUUAAUUGUUUUUGCAUGUUACACAUUAAAAUCACUAUUAAUUUUUGCAUUUGUAUUAAACUAAUAAAUCUACUAAAUCUUUUACAAUUUAUUCAUAUAUCAGAUGAAAUGCAUAUAAUAAAAGUAUGAAAACUAACAAGAAUUAAUUAUUUCACGAUAACAAGGAUUCUAAGCUUGGUGGGAGAUAACGGUCUUUAACCUAGCUACACAUCCACCCGAUUUUCAUGGGUUAUAUCCGUCAAAAUAGGAGUUGUUGUUCAAAUCAAGUUUAGAUAUAAAUAAACUUGAUUAGUUAUGUUUCAAGGUCUAUGUCUUAACGGUGACAUAGCUUCUUCAAUAUUAGGCAUGACUUCACCAUGCCUUUUGAAUCAAAACCUUGCAUGUGACAUGUUUCGAGAGAUUGUAUUAUUCAAGACUCUGGUCUUGAAAUGUGAUCCAGAAGCGUUGCACAACACUGGCUUUUCAUGGUCAGUCUUAUACUCUGUUAUUUAUUUAUAUCUAAACUUGAUUUGAACUUUUGACGUAUAGGAAUGACCAUGAAAAGCCAGAGUUAUGCAACGCUCGUGGAUCACAUAUUUCAAGACCAGAGUAACUCUUGAACACAAUCUCUCAAAACAUGUCACAUGCAAGGUUUUGAUUCAAGAGACAUGGUGAAAAAGAUUUCAUGCCUAAUAUUGAAGAAGCUAUGUCACCGUUAAGACAUAGAUCUUGAAACACAACUAAUCAAAGAAAUCACGGUUGCUGAAAUAAUAAAAAUUUCAUGGACGGAUCUAUCAAACAUAUAUGCACUAAUGGCACAUUGAGUUGUUGCUGGGCUCAUCGAUUCAAGCAAAAAAGAGCAGUUUUUGGCUACAUGGAAUUCAAAGGAAUGUGAAGAGUAUUUGUUCAAAAUGUGAAUGGAAUGGUUGCGGCUAAUGGUUGCGGCUAAUGAAAGGGUUGUAGUUCUUAAACCCUAUGUGAAAAAAUAGUGUAUAUAUAGGAGUGGAGUGUCGAGUAGUUGAAUUGCGAUGAUAAUGGAUGAGUCAGCAACACAUAAGCAUCUAAAUCAUGGUCAAUUCCACAUUUAAUGCUUUGGUCUUAUCCAAUAUUUCAUCUCGUACUACAAUAAAUCGUUUUGACCAUGUUAUACAAAGUAAAAAAUAUACUUCCUCUGUCCCAUUUUAUAAUAAUCAUUUUAACUAAAUGUACUAUUCAUAUGUCUUGUUUUCACCGUGCUUUUCUAAAAAAGUAUAAAUGUAG